CCUACGGGAGGCAGCAGUGGGGAAUAUUGCGCAAUGGGCGAAAGCCUGACGCAGCGACGCCGCGUGAGGGAUGAAGGUCUUCGGAUCGUAAACCUCUGUCAGCAGGAAAGAACGGUCACUGUGCUAAUCAGCAGUGAAUUGACGGUACCUGCAAAGGAAGCACCGGCUAACUCCGUGCCAGCAGCCGCGGUAAUACGGAGGGUGCGAGCGUUAAUCGGAAUUACUGGGCGUAAAGCGCUCGUAGGCGGUAUGUCAAGUCAAGGGUGAAAUCCCCGCGCUCAACGUGGGAACUGCCUUUGAAACUGGCAAACUGGAGUGGGUGAGAGGAUAGUGGAAUUCCAGGUGUAGGAGUGAAAGCCGUAGAUAUCUGGAGGAACAUCAGUGGCGAAGGCGACUAUCUGGCACAUAACUGACGCUGAGGAGCGAAAGCGUGGGUAGCAAACAGGAUUAGAUACCCGGGUAGUC
rnacentral:rRNA from 1 species